UCCAGCUUAUCGCUGGCGGUCUCCUGCGAGUUCCCAACUGAAUGAUGGCAACACAGGACGAGGGUUGCGCUCGUUGCGGGACUUAACCCAACAUCUCACGACACGAGCUGACGACAGCCAUGCAGCACCUCGACUAGACCCCCUUGCGGGGUACCGGUGUUUCCACCGGCGUUGACUACCCGUUCGAGCCCAGGUAAGGUUCUUCGCGUUGCGUCGAAUUGAACCACAUGCUCCACCGCUUGUGCGGGCCCCCGUCAAUUCCUUUGAGUUUCAGCCUUGCGACUGUACUCCCCAGGCGGCAUAUUUAACGCGUUAGCUUCGUUACUGAGAGUGUCAAACCCCCAACAACCAGUCGACAUCGUUUAGGGCGUGGACUAC
rnacentral:misc_RNA from 1 species